rnacentral:rRNA from 1 species
GAUGAACGCUGGCGGCGUGCCUAAUACAUGCAAGUCGAGCGAACGGACGAGAAUUUUGCUUCUAUGAUGUUUGCGACGGACGUGUGAGUAAUACGUGCAUAAUCUACCUAUAAGACAGGCAUCACUUCGCGGCCUCGGAGCUAAUACCGGAUACUAUUUUGCACCGCAUUGUUCAUCAGUGAUAGACGUACUUUCUUUUACUUAUAGAUGCCUCCUCGCUGCAUUAGCUAGUUGUUAAGGUAACGGCUUACCAAGGCAACGAUGCAUAGCCGACCUGAGAGGGUGAUCGGCCACACUGGAACUGAGACACGGUCCAGACUCCUACGGGAGGCAGCAGUAGGGAAUCUUCCGCAAUGGGCGAAAGCCUGACGGAGCAACGCCGCGUGAGUGAUGAAGGUCUUCGGAUCGUAAAACUCUGUUAUUAGGGAAGAACAUAUGUGUAAGUAACUGUGCACAUCUUGACGGUACCUAAUCAGAAAGCCACGGCUAACUACGUG